UACGGGGGGAGCAAGCGUUGUUCGGAUUUACUGGGCGUAAAGGGCGCGUAGGCGGCCACCGCAAGUCGACUGUGAAAUCUCCGGGCUUAACCCGGAAAGGUCAGCCGAUACUGCGGGGCUAGAGUGCAGAAGGGGCAACUGGAAUUCUCGGUGUAGCGGUGAAAUGCGUAGAUAUCGAGAGGAACACCAGUGGCGAAGGCGAGUCCCUGGACAGGUCCUGACGCUGAGGCACGAAAGCUAGGGGAGCAAACAGG
rnacentral:rRNA from 1 species